rnacentral:RNase_P_RNA from 1 species
GAGAGAGGAAGGGCGGCUGCCGGUCUUCGUAGAAGGCUGAGGAAAGUCCCCCCACCGUAAGAACAUGAAUGCCGAGAGGGCAUAAGGCGAGAGUCUUGGCUCUGGUAUAGAAACGAUACCGUGCCAUACCAAUGUGAUGAUUCC